rnacentral:ncRNA from 1 species
UAUAAAUCAAUGAUGAGAGAGUAAUGAUCUGACCUUUUGCCUAGAGAGCUGGAGAUGGUGGAAACCAGUCAAAAACAGAUGAUGAAGAACACUCGGAGAGAUAGAAGAAAUCACUCGUGAAAGUAGAACUAUCCGCAUACCCGCGUUAAGGGUUUCAAGGGCUAGAAUUCAUUUCUAGAACUAAGGUGGUACCGCGUAAAUUUACGUCCUUAGA